rnacentral:rRNA from 1 species
AUCGAACGCUGGCGGCAGGCCUAACACAUGCAAGUCGAGCGAGCGGCGGACGGGUGAGUAAUGUAUGGGGAUCUGCCCGAUAGAGGGGGAUAACUACUGGAAACGGUGGCUAAUACCGCAUACUAUCGUAUGAACCAUGAUGGGAUUAGCUAGUAGGUGGGGUAAAGGCUCACCUAGGCGACGAUCCCUAGCUGGUCUGAGAGGAUGAUCAGCCACACUGGGACUGAGACACGGCCCAGACUCCUACGGGAGGCAGCAGUGGGGAAUAUUGCACAAUGGGGGCAAGCCUGAUGCAGCCAUGCCGCGUGUGUGAAGAAGGCCUUAGGGUCGUAAAGUACUUUCAGCGGGGAGGCGUUACCCGCAGAAGAAGCACCGGCUAACUCCGUGCCAGCAGCCGCGGUAAUAC